rnacentral:rRNA from 1 species
AACGCUAGCUACAGGCUUAACACAUGCAAGUCGAGGGGCAGCAUGGUCUUAGCUUGCUAAGGCCGAUGGCGACCGGCGCACGGGUGAGUAACACGUAUCCAACCUGCCGUCCACUCUUGGACAGCCUUCUGAAAGGAAGAUUAAUACAAGAUGGCAUCAUGAGUCCGCAUGUUCACAUGAUUAAAGGUAUUCCGGUAGACGAUGGGGAUGCGUUCCAUUAGAUAGUAGGCGGGGUAACGGCCCACCUAGUCUUCGAUGGAUAGGGGUUCUGAGAGGAAGGUCCCCCACAUUGGAACUGAGACACGGUCCAAACUCCUACGGGAGGCAGCAGUGAGGAAUAUUGGUCAAUGGGCGAGAGCCUGAACCAGCCAAGUAGCGUGAAGGAUGACUGCCCUAUGGGUUGUAAACUUCUUUUAUAAAGAAAUAAAGUCGGGUAUGGAUACCCGUUUGCAUGUACUUUAUGAAUAAGGAUCGGCUAACUCCGUGCCAGCAGCCGCGGUAAUACGGAGGAUCCGAGCGUUAUCCGGAUUUAUUGGGUUUAAAGGGAGCGUAGAUGGAUGUUUAAGUCAGUUGUGAAAGUUUGCGGCUCAACCGUAAAAUUGCAGUUGAUACUGGAUAUCUUGAGUGCAGUUGAGGCAGGCGGAAUUCGUGGUGUAGCGGUGAAAUGCUUAGAUAUCACGAAGAACUCCGAUUG